rnacentral:lncRNA from 1 species
ACUGGGAAAACAUGGCGGAGUCGGCUGGCGUUAAGUUGCUUUUUGGCAAAGUUGGGCGGCGAGAUUGUUUUUGGUGAUUUGGAUUAGAAAGCUGCAGGAGGGUCAUCGCUUAGUAAUUUAGGGUUAAGAGUACAGAAGCUAUGUCUUCCGUUGGUCGCAUGCCAUUUGAGUUCCUUUUUAUUUCCUCGAGUUUUAUUUGUUGGUUAUUCAUGGCUAGGUCUGUUCGCUCCUCACGUUCUCUCCUAAUCUCAGUAACUUUGUUAACCUUUCAUUUUCAAGUCGCAGGCGCCCAGGAAUGAACAGGAUAACUGCUAGUGGCUCCAGAUGUCAGAAAACAGAUGACCAGAUCGAGCACGCGCAGAUCUCUGGUUGGUCGGCUGUGUGCCUCCGGAAGGCCCGCCCUGCUCGUCCAAUCACGGAGAGGGAGGGCACGUUGAGAGUGAUGCCAGGAAUCAAGAUGGCCGCCUGGGACCGCUCUCAGCCCCUUCGGCCUCUACCUGAAGAGCCACGCCCCGUCUGCUACACCCAACUGAUUGGUUCCUCAAUCACAGAGAGGAAAGGCAACAUGAGGAUGACGUCAGUUACAAAUAUGGCGUUUUGGACGGGCUCGAUAGUUUGCUUGGCCUCUACUCAAGGAAUGCUGAUGGUAUAGCAAGAAGGUAUUCUGAGCAUUAUAUCAAUGGGGAAGUUCUAGAUCUUUUGCAAAGCAGGAGAGUCAUCCUAGGGCAUCCAGAGGCCUUCAGGGUGGCCUGAAGUCUCCCACCGCACCACCUUUGGGUUAACCUAGCCUGUCCCACAGAAGAUGAUGAAGUUGGGUCUGGAGGCAAGCUGACUCAGAUGGAUUCUCGAUUUUAUGAUGCUGGACUGGAGAUGGGUUUCACCAUGUUGCCCAAGCUAGUCUCGAACUCGUGGACUCAAGCAAUCCACCUGCCUCAGCCUCCCAAAGUGCCUUACAGGCGUGAGCCACCGCACCUGGCUGAACUGUCCCUUCACACUUACCUUCAGUCCUGGAGGGAGGACCUCUUGCUUGUGGAUCUGGAUGACAGUGAUACUCACAAGUACCACAAUACUCACAAGCAAGACCACCAAGGCAAUGAUGGUUGGAGUUCGGUAGAGGGCCUUGAGGCCUAAAAUGAGAAGACCCAGAAGACACUUGAGGGGGAGGUAAAAACCAGGCACUGGUAUUCUUUGUAGAAUUGAUGGACUGGCCCCAUAAUCAGGUGCAUAAACCACCUUCUCUGGUGUUAGCGAGACCCACACUUCUAAGAUGGAGUAGCAAAUAAGCUCCCCUUCUCCCCAGUUUUGGGGAAGCACAAACAAUACCUAUUUGCCCUUCCUCACAAAUUGUGUACUAAAACAGUGUUGCAGGGAGGGUAUGCAUGGUCUAGUUUUCUGAUAUUUUGGUUAUCCCUGAGAUGAAUUACAAUAACAUUUGUUUUACUUUUUUCUUUUUCUUUUCUUUUUUUUUUUUUUUGAGAUGGAGUCUCACUCUAUCGCCCAGGUUAGAGUGCUGUGCCGUGAUCUUGGCUCACUGCAGCUUCCAACUCCCAGGUUCAAGCGAUUCUUCUGCCUCUGCCUCCUGAAUAGCUGAGAUUACAGGUGCCUGCUACCACGGCAGCCAAUUUUUGUAUUUUUAAUAGAGACAGGGUUUCACCAUGUUGGCCAGGCUGGUCUCGAACUCCUGGGCUCAAGUGAUCUGCCUGUCUCGGUCUCCCAAAGUGCUGGGAUUACAGGUGUGAGCCACCACGCCCAGCUAACAUUAGUUUUAAUGGAGAUUCAAAAAAUCUAUUUUUAAAAAAUUAAACCAGGUGAUAGAAUAUUUCACUUAAAAAUAAUCUCAUAGAAUAUUUCAUUUAAAAAUAAUCUCAGUUAAAGAAAAAGAAAUUAGGCUGGGCAGAUGGCUGACCCCUGUAAUCCCAGCACUUUGGGAGGCCGAAGUGGGUGGAUCACUUGAGGUCAGGAGUUCAAGACCAGCCUGGCCAAUAUGGUGAAACCAUGUCUCUACCAAGAAAUACAAAAAUUAGCCAGGUGUGAUCAUAUGCGCCUGUAGUCCCAGCUACUCGGGAGACUGAGGUGGGAGAAUUGCUUGAAGCCAGGAGGUGGAGGUUGCAAUGAGUUGAGAUCAAACUACUACACACCAGCCUGGGUGACAGAAUAAGACCUUGUCUCAAUAAAAUAAAAUAAAAAUAAAAAAAUUAGUACUAUAC